GAGUAACACGUAGGUGACCUGCCCCAAAGAGGAGAAUAACUUGACGAAAGUGAAGCUAAUACUCCAUGUGAUCACGCAUUCGAUUGUGUGAUUAAAGUUACGGCGCUUUGGGAGGGGCCUGCGGCCCAUCAGCUAGUUGGUAGGGUAAUGGCCUACCAAGGCUAAGACGGGUAGCUGGUCUGAGAGGACGAUCAGCCACAAUGGCACUGAAACACGGGCCAU
rnacentral:rRNA from 1 species